rnacentral:lncRNA from 1 species
GCGCUGGCUCGCAAGCGCAGCGCGCAGCCCGGGUUCCCGCCUGCGCCUCUCCCUCCACACCUCCCGGCAAGCUGUGGGAGCCGGCUCCGGCCUUGGCCAGCCCAGAAAGGGGAUCCUACAGUGCAGCGGGGGGCUGAAGGGCUCCUCAAGCGCGGCCAGAGUGGGCGCCAAGGCCGAGGAGGCGCCGAGAGCGAGUGAGGGCUGCUAGGGCCGCCAGCAUGCUGUCACCUCUCAUAAUGGGUUUCUGGACAGUGUUGUUAACAAUUCAUGGCGUGUGUUUCUGUGUCGGAGGCAGGAGGGAGCUGAAAAGAUGCAGUUUUAUCUCCAAAGGAAAGAUGGAUGUUGAAUAAAUGGAUAAAUGGUGCCUAAACUGUGACAACAUCACAUUGUUCCAAAUCACUCCAACUGUGUGGGAUCUGAGCACACCCGGUAAGUGCUCCAGCCCCACAACAAUACUUUGUCAUCUGCCUCCUGCUACCCCACCCGCACCUAUCUGGCAUGUUCUUUCCUUAAGUAUCAACAUAGUUGUUUUCUUCCCUCCUUUAGAUGUUUACUAAAUGUCAUCUUCUCAGCGAGGCUUCCGAGGCUUCCUCGCUAUCCUUUCUAAAAUUGCACCUAUUCCUUCCACCUCACACUCUUUCCCCACUUCUCUUCUCCAGUGCUUGUCACUCUUAAUCUUGUUUACAUUGGUCUUC